UCAGGGCUGCAAUUGAAGAGAAUGCCUAUAAUCGGAUGAAGAAGGUGGUAAAGUGGUACAUCUCUGGAUUUUACAAAAAGCCAAAGGGGUUGAAGAAGCCCUACAAUCCCAUUAUUGGAGAGAUGUUCCGCUGCAUGUGGCUCCAUCAGAAGACCAAUAGCAAGACCUUCUACAUCGCAGAACAGGUAUCUCAUCACCCUCCAGUAUCAGCCUUCUAU